GGAGGAUUAGCUCAGCUGGUUAGAGCACCUGCAUCACACGCAGGGGGUCUGGGGUUC
rnacentral:tRNA from 1 species